CACCCGCAGCUCGAGUGGUGGUCACUUUUAUUGAGCCUAAAGCGUUUGUAGCCGGUUUUGCAAAUCUUCAGAUAAAUUCCUCUGCUUAACAGAUGAUCUUCUGAAGAGACUGCGAGACUGGGACCCGGGUGAGGUGAAGGUACUUCCGGGGUAGGGGUAAAAUCCUGUAAUCCUGGAAGGACGACCGGUGGCGAAGGCGUUCAACUAGAACGGAUCCGACGGUGAGGAACGAGGGCUAGGGUAGCAAACCGGAUUAGAUACCCGGGUAGUCCUAGCUGUAAACACUGCCCACUUGGUGUUGCCCCUCCGAUGAGGGGAGGCAGUGCCGGAGCGAAGGUGUUAAGUGGGCCGCUUGGGGAGUAUGGUCGCAAGGCUGAAACUUAAAGGAAUUGGCGGGGGAGCACCGCAACGGGAGGAGCGUGCGGUUUAAUUGGAUUCAACGCCGGAAAACUCACCGGGAGCGACCUUUGGAUGAGAGUCAGCCUGAUGAGCUUACUCGAUAGAAGGAGAGGUGGUGCAUGGCCGUCGUCAGCUCGUACCGUAGGGCGUUCACUUAAGUGUGAUAACGAGCGAGACCCCCAUCUCUAAUUGCUAACGUGCAUUCGCGUGCACGCGCACUUUAGAGGGACCGCCAGUGCUAAACUGGAGGAAGGAGGGGUCGACGGCAGGUCAGUACGCCCCGAAUCUCCCGGGCAACACGCGCGCUACAAAGGGCAGGACAAUGAGUUGCCACCUCGAAAGGGGGAGCUAAUCUCGAAACCUGUUCGUAGUUAGGAUUGAGGGCUGUAACUCGCCCUCAUGAAUGUGGAUUCCGCAGUAAUCGCGGGUCAACAGCCCGCGGUGAAUAUGCCCCUGCUCCU
rnacentral:rRNA from 1 species